CCGGAUGAAAAUUCCAUCCGACCGUAUAGUUGACAGGCCGGUGGGAUUGUCGUCCGUCU
rnacentral:pre_miRNA from 1 species